rnacentral:rRNA from 1 species
GAUGAACGCUGGCGGCGUGCCUAAUACAUGCAAGUCGAGCGAACGGACGAGAAGCUUGCUUCUCUGAUGUUAGCGGCGGACGGGUGAGUAACACGUGGAUAACCUACCUAUAAGACUGGGAUAACUUCGGGAAACCGGAGCUAAUACCGGAUAAUAUUUUGAACCGCAUGGUUCAAAAGUGAAAGACGGUCUUGCUGUCACUUAUCGAUGGAUCCCCGCUGCAUUAGCUAGUUGGUAAGGUAACGGCUUACCAAGGCAACGAUGCAUAGCCGACCUGAGAGGGUGAUCGGCCACACUGGAACUGAGACACGGUCCAGACUCCUACGGGAGGCAGCAGUAGGGAAUCUUCCGCAAUGGGCGAAAGCCUGACGGAGCAACGCCGCGUGAGUGAUGAAGGUCUUCGGAUCGUAAAACUCUGUUAUUAGGGAAGAACAUAUGUGUAAGUAACUGUGCGCAUCUUGACGGUACCUAAUCAGAAAGCCACGGCUAACUACGUG